rnacentral:lncRNA from 1 species
ACAAAUUUGUGAAUUGUAUGUGACUGUCUGAUGCCGGGGAGCAGCAAGGAGCUUUUGGUGAUUGGAGUGCGGUUUAAGUGACUGGCACUGGUGGUUACUGCUGGCCCCAGGGAGUGUGAGGCUAGCAGGAUGACCCAGAUUUCCCAAACCAGGCCAGGGCUCUUUCCAGUGAACCAAGGAUGAUGUGAAGAUGCAGGAGGUGGCAGAGGAAGAUCUCAGAAUAUCACUUAGGAAGACUAGACAGCACUUCAGCACUACACUUCGAGGGCAUUUUAAACAGUGAAAUCAUCAACAAAAAGCACAAAAAUGCAUAAGUGUGGCACCAAAUAGACUGCAAGAAGGACACUUGUUUACGGUUUGAGAGCUGAAACCAGGAGACAGAGUGUUAUCUUAUUUGACUCAAAUUUUUCACCACUCUGAGCAGGUCCGUGAAUGGCCACAAAACUGCUGCGAGAUUUCAUUUUGGGGCUACAAAGGAAUUUUUGCAAGUAGAUGAAUUGGCAAACAUGGAGUCUGUGAAUGAUGAGGAUGGACUGUGUAUGUUGCAUUUGUGGAGAGGACAACUUCAUUGCAGAGGAUGUGUAAAGGGAGCACAGUGCCUAAAGUCUUCAUUAAGGUGUAGGGGACUGAUGUAUCCCCUCCCGAGGGCCCACUGUGCUCAAGAGAAGCAGAGAAUACGCCGGGAGCGGUGGCUCACGCCUGUAAUCCCAGCACUUUGGGAGGCUGAGGCAGGUGGAUCACGAGGUCAGGAGAUUAAGACCAUUCUGGCCAACAUGGUGAAACCCCAUCUCUACUAAAAAUACAAAAAUUAGCUGGGCAUGGUGGCCUGCGUCUGUAGUCCCAGCUACUCAGGAGGCUGAGGCAGGAGAAUCGCUUGAACCUGGGAGGCAGAGGUUGCAGUGAGCCGAGAUCACACCACUGCACUCCAGCCUGGGUGACAGAGCAAAGCUCUUAUCUCAAAAAAAAAAAAAAAAAAAAAGAGAGAGAGAAGCAGAGAAUAAAGGAGGCCAGUGGCCAUCAAAAGGGAGUGGCAGGUAGGUGAGAGAGGACAUAGGGAGGGAGGUGGGAUUGAGAGGGAGGGCAGUGGGUGUUGGGGGGGAGGGUCCCUCACGGUUUAGCUGGGUCCCAGAACUCCCUCCCCCUGAACACCUCGUGGGUGGGUGCCUCUUCUCUGCUCACUUUUGGCUGGACUUCUGCUGAUCUGUGAAACACAGAGAGACUCUCCUCUCUGGCUGUCUCCCAGUUGCGGGGAACCUUUUGAUUUCUUAACUAUUCCCCUGGGAUCCAUUCCUCUAUUUGCUCAUUUUCUAAUACUCCCUCUUCAUCACCGUGUUACUGGGCCACUGACUCCCACUCCAAAGGCCGACCAGGCCCGGAAAGCUCAUAAAGUGAGUCAGCCUAAGAGAAGGGAUCCGAGUCCAGGUCACUUGGAGCUGAUGACGGCAGCGAACCUGGCUAAGCCAGCGUGUGCAAGAUGCUGGCGCUGCUGGAAACAUCGCCUGGAGGAGCGGCCCUCUCAUCACCCGGAACAGACAGGGGUGUCUGCAGAGGUUUCCCAACCUGUCAUCAUUACUCUAGGGUCUUCUUAGAAGGACAACAAACCCUGUACCUGCAUGGCGGAGUGUUAGGAUAUCUGGUACCAUGUCACUCCCCUGAGCUCAGCCAGACUGCCUGAGGGUUGUGCCCCACUCCACCAUUUACUGCUUGUGCCUCAGUUUCCUGAUCUGUAAAAUGGAAGUUCUAAUAGUAUCCACCUCAUAGGGUUGUUAUGAGGACUGCACUACAUAUAUACAUAUAGCACUGAGAACAGUGCCUGCACAGAGUAAGCUCUACAGAACACUGGCUUUUAUUAUUGUGAUUAUUAUUGCUCGUAUUAUUACUACUCUUCUCAUCUCUAAAGAAUGGAAUGGGGCUGAACGAUUUCAAAGGCCUUUCUUUCCCUUCCUGUUCUGUUACUGGAGAUGCUCCCUUGCUGUGUGGCCUUGGGCAAGGCCCUUGUCCUCUCUGGGCCGCAAGUUCUUAUCUUCUAAGUGAGGUGCUGGGAGUCAAGCCCUGAGAGCCUGAAUCUAUGAAAUAAGGAUAAGAUGACUCCUAGAGUGGGGUUCAUUUGUGACUGCAGCCUCUCCUGGGGAUGCUGAAUUUCCUUAUUUUAAGAAUUUACUCAGAAUUUAAUCCAAUUCCUCUCCCCUUUUUGUCUAUUGUAACUGCUUAUUUCAUCUCAGCUGAGAUAAAUGGUUAAGUAAUCAACAUAACAGGGUAUAUUUGUAGUGUGUUUUUAAAGCUCCCAUUCACUGAACCAACCACCUUCCUAAGCCUGGAUUAAUUUAUUCUAUCAUCAUUACAACCCUGGGAGGGAGAUUAUUGUCCCUGUGUUAGAGAUGAGGAAAUUGAAGCACAGAGAAAAGUUAAGCAACUUGCCCAAGGACACACAAACAGUAAAUAGUAAAUCCAGAUUUAAACCAGGAACCUUGACUCCAGAUUCUGUAAGCUUUACCCUGACACUAUACCAGCGGUUGGCCUUGAGCUUAAUUUCUAAUUCUACGAUGGAAACGCUGAGGUGGGAGGCAGGUCUUUACUCCAGACCAGACUGAUGACUGGCUGAACCAGGGAAGAGGCAAAAGCACCUCUCCAUAAGACAUGCUCACCAGUACAUGCCAGUUUACCCUUGCCAGUAACUCAGAAGUUACUGCCUCUUUCCAUGGCAUUGACAGAUCCACCCCUUUUCUAGAAAUUUCUGAAUAGCCCGCCUCUUAAUUUGCAUGUAAUUAAAAUGGGUAUAAAUAUGACUGAAACACUGCCCCGAGCUCCUAUUCUCAACACACUGCCUGUGGGGUAGCCCUGCUCUGCAGGAGGAGUCACGGAGCUGUAACACUGCUGACUCAAUAAAGC